CAUCUGUUUCUAAUGCGCUCUCCAGAAAUGUUACUUUCUGCAAUAUUCCACUCCUCUCCCAAACGAUAUUUUUCCACUUAUGUUUGCCCAGCAUAGCUUGAAAGCAGAUCAAUAUCUGAAGCAACAAAGAACCCAACUGAGAACAAAGACUUAGAAAGACACGCAAGUGAUUUCCCAGGGCUCCAGGUGGCUGCAGGAGGGCCCUGGGAGACUGCAGUCCUUACGCAGCUUUCUGAUGCGUCGCACAUUGAUGUGACAUCCUGGUGUGGCAGAGAGAAGAUGAGCCUCAAAAGAGAUAUGAAAUUGCCCAACUCAACAUUCGAUAUGGAACAUAAAUGAAUGUCGAACAUGUAUGUAUGCUAUAUAUUUGCAGGCCUUUAGUGCUGACAUGCCACAACUCCCUGGACUCAGCAGUGAAGAUGUUCAAGCCCAGUGCAACAGGACCAUAAGAAAGACAUUGAGACCCCUCACUACAAGAAAGACAGUGAAGCCCUAGAAUGUGAUCAGAGAAGGGCAUCAAAGCUGGUGAGGAGUCUGGAGCACAAGUCUUAUGGGAAGCAGCUGAGAGAACUGAGGUUGUUCAGUCUGAAGAAGAGGAGGAUCAGGGGAGACCUUAUCACUGUCUACAACCAUCUGAAAGGAGGUUACGCAUGAACUACAGAGAACCCUGCCUAGCAGGUAACCUCACACGAGGAGUACACCUAAAUACUGGAAACCCCCCAGGAAUUUUGUGGCCAUCUAUCAGCACUGACACAUAGAAACUGAGGAUCUGGAGCACACCUGCAGCCACCUGGAAGCCAGACUGUGAGAAAAGAGGCUCCUGAAGGAAUAUUGGCAGCUGCUCCUGGACAGUGCUACACUGAAAAUGUUGCUGUGAUGAGAAAAUUGGAGGCCAGAAUGAGGAUGUGAAAUAAUGUUGAUCUCCGGCAGUUACAAACUGAAAAGGAGGAGCUUGAAGAAAAACAUCAGGGGACCAAAUGCUGGGAUAUGUGCAUUGAACAUGGAACAAGAUAUUCCCGCAUGCUGGAACUCAGUGUGUAAGUGAAGCUCUAAUGUUAAGCACAAAACAGGGGAAAAAUAAAUGUACCUGUAGGGAAGGAGUUGUAGGUGCACACUGAAAGUAUGAGUCUGCCAGGAUUUCCCUCUGAGGCCUGGAGAAGUACCAGGCUGCAUUGUAGAAUACCCUGAGUUGGAAGAGACCCACAAGGAUCAUCAAGGCUAACUCCAGGCUCCACAUUGGACCACCCAACAACCAGACCAUACCUCUGAGAGUGUGCCCUGGGCAGCCCGCUCCAUGCCCACCGCCCUGUGGUGCAGCCCCUGUCCCUAACCCCCAGCUGCCCCUCCCCUGACACAGCUCCAUGCCGUUCCCUCGGGCCCUGUCGCUGUCACACAGAGCAGAGCUCAGCGCUGCCCCUCCGCUCCCUGUGAGGAGCUGCAGCCGCCAUCAGCCCUCCCUUCAGCCUAAACUUAAUUCAAUUUGUAUUUGAUUUGGUCAACCAGCCCCGAAGCCUUCACAGUUAUUUGUAUUUCAGAGGAAAAAUGGAUUACUGCAAGCUGCAUCAACUGACCUAACUUCUCUGCAAAGCUUGUGCCCCUUUGUGCUUAAAGGACUGUGUGUGGGCAGCUGAGUUAAUUCCUGCAUCCCAGCUGAAGGACAGUAACCUCUGGCUGAGGACAAACCUUUGUAACAGGUGUGCAAACUGAUUGCCUUGUAAGCAGUGCGAACCACUCUUAAACCCAUCUAAAGUCUUAGAAAUAUGUUUCUAGAAAUGUCUUUUAUCUUGCUGUUGCUUGAUUGCACUGGCUUAAAAUUUACCUUUCAAUCAAAUUGGUGGAAUUUCACAUGUAUUCUUCUCUUCAUGCUCGAUGGUUCUCAAAAAUUAAUACAGCCUCAGUCUGAAGAUGAAUGAACAGGAAAGGAAAAGGUUUCAUCUUUGACAGUAAGCCUGAGUGUGACUCUGAUCUUUUCCAAGUUUAACCUAGUGCAGUGUCACUGAUAUCAAAGAAGAUGUGCUCCCUUUAUACAGAAAUAAAUUUGAUCAGUGGUUAGGCUGUUAAUUUGGCAUUUCUCUACCAGAUGCAAGGUUUUUAUAACAUUACCAGCUUCUUAAUAGUUGAAAAAUGAAACUUUACAUUAGUGUCAGGUUUGCGGGGGAGAAGCAGAAUGAAGAAUGGAAAAAGAUGAUAAUAUUUGCCUACAGCAGACAAUUGAAGAGCAAUCUACUUUAACAGUGUCACCUAUAUAAUUUCUCCUGUCUACCAUUGCCAUAGUUUUCCUCACCUCAGGGGCAGAGUUGGCAUUAUUUAGCAGAGAUCCCAAAUUCUCUCUUGUUUCUGUGAGGUGCUCUUUUAGUUUUUUCCCCCAGAAACAAAAAGUAAAGCCACCCCUGGAUUCUGUAGAACAGCACAAAGAAGUCAGCACAUUGCUGGCAGCAGAGAGUCGAAUGUUGUUGCACAGCCACUGCCUUUCUACUCUUAGGCAACAGAGUGUGGUUUUUAUUUUUAUUUUUUUUAUUUUUUAUUUUUUAGUUUAAUGUCUGUUAAAAUGUUUUCUUAUGUUUAAAAAGCUUAAACUCCUCACAAGUUUGUACAAAUACUUUCUAUAAAAACAUGUCUAAAACAAUAUAUUCUCUUUGGAUAAGGUAUGUGCAACUUCAUCUGCUUGCCACCAGCUUCUGAAAUUGAAAUGUGGUUGUGCUAACCUGAAUGUCUAUUUGAGAGCAAUUGCUCCUUGUGCAAUCAGUCAAGAUACCUAAUCUACUUGGCUUGUGGCUUUUGUUCCUGUUACCUUGCCAAGUAUCCCAGAUCUUGGUUGAUUUUGCUCCUCCUGGAAGCUGACUACAGAGAUCCCAUUGGCUUCCAUGAGAAGAUGAUGUGCAUCUUCUUCUAAGGGUUCAUUUUCUGUAUACACUAUUUUAUGGCCCCAGCCUGUGACAGAUGCCUGUCUAUCAAAGACACUGAGGAUUUAUAGAUGCAUUUAGGAAAAUUUUAUGUACACUCCAGCAUCACCUGUGCUUCACUUAAAACAUAGAGAGGGAAUAACUUCUGAGCAUGUGUAAGAAAUGUAGCCUUAAAGCUGCUGGAUUUCAUCCUAAACCUUUGUCUUGCAUUUUGUAAACAGCGAAGAGUAACAAGAUUUUCACUCCUGCUGGUAGUUGUGAAUAGGAUAAAUGAUCUCCCAGAGAUGCCUGUUGACAGAUUCCUAUUUUUAGCAGCUGCCGGUUUCGACUGACUUCCUGGAAAUCUCACAAGGUUGCCAAUUGCUUUGAUAUCUAAAAAUUGUAUUCUUUUAAUCAUCCUCCUUAGCCUCUGAUACUGAUGUCGGUGUUAGAAUUACGUCCAUGGAUAAACAUAAGGCUAAUUUACAGAAGGUGUAGGUAUGACUCCAUGUUGUCUCUUUUGGAGUCCUAGGCAGAGGUGUCAGUUAUAUGGGAUAAAACCAUUAGGCAAUUCUUGGUGUUGAUUUGGCUAGUUCUUGCUAUUUUAUUUCAAGCAUUUUUAUUACGCUGCAUUUGUUCGGCUUACAGGAAACUACCUUCAACACUACCUUUAAUACAGCUCCUAGAUGCCCUAAUGUAUGAAAUGUAAGACACAACAGAACAUUUAUAUUGUAAACUCUGUAUAAGAAAUUCUGAGUUAAUCAUAACAACACUUUUCAUUCCACUACACUGUUACAAGCAUAUCCUCCCCUGGCAUAGCAUUAGAGAUUACUCUAAAUGCUUCAAAAUGAAAAAAA